CCUACGGGAGGCAGCAGUGAGGAAUAUUGGUCAAUGGACGAGAGUCUGAACCAGCCAAGUAGCGUGAAGGAUGACUGCCCUAUGGGUUGUAAACUUCUUUUAUAUGGGAAUAAAAUGUUCCACGUGUGGGAUUUUGUAUGUACCAUAUGAAUAAGGAUCGGCUAACUCCGUGCCAGCAGCCUCGGUAAUACGGAGGAUCCGAGCGUUAUCCGGAUUUAUUGGGUUUAAAGGGAGCGUAGGUGGAUUGUUAAGUCAGUUGUGAAAGUUUGCGGCUCAACCGUAAAAUUGCAGUUGAAACUGGCAGUCUUGAGUACAGUAGAGGUGGGCGGAAUUCGUGGUGUAGCGGUGAAAUGCUUAGAUAUCACGAAGAACUCCGAUUGCGAAGGCAGUUCACUGGACUGCAACUGACACUGAGGCUCGAAAGUGUGGGUAUCAAACAGGAUUAGAUACCCCAGUAGUC
rnacentral:rRNA from 1 species